GGCGCUGUAGUGUAGUGGUUAUCACUCGAGAUUCUGACGUUAUCUCCCAACCUCUGAGUAUUCUCGUAACCCAGGUUCGAGUCCUGGCAGUGCCU